ACGCUCGACACCUACGGGAGCAGCAGUAGGGAAUCUUCCGCAAUGGACGAAAGUCUGACGGAGCAACGCCGCGUGAACGAUGAAGGUUUUCGGAUCGUAAAGUUCUGUUGUUAGGGAAGAACAAACUUCGUUUGAAUAAGGCGGAGUCAUGACGGUACCUAACGAGAAAGCCACGGCUAACUACGUGCCAACAGCCGCGGUAAUCUGAGCGGGCUGGCAAGGC
rnacentral:rRNA from 1 species